rnacentral:lncRNA from 1 species
GUGUGUGUGUAGAAAGAAAGAGAGAAAGAAAAAGGAAGGUUUGGUUUAAUUUUUUAGAGAGAGUUUGGAAAUUGAAGGAUUGGAAGAAGGGAUGGCAUUAAUGGAGGAGGGAAGUGGCACACGAGGGGGUGGGUACUUGUUAGUGGUGAGUGAGAAAGUUUUGGAAGGAGAUGAAAAGGAUGUGGGGAAGAAACAAAUGGGAGGAUAUUUUAGAAAUAUAAUAAAG